GGUAACUAAACAAGGCCUAAACAUGGCCUACUUGUAUCCUGACGAACUCGAGAUGGCAUUUAUUUGCAAGCUGAAAUUUUGCUUUUGUUUGACGUAAUGUGUUUUGAAAUAGCGGCACACCCCUAUGAGGGAUUGUCCAAUUGUCCGGAUCAGCGUACGGGUAAGGGAGAGGUACAAGGACAUCUGAAGACAAGAUAGUAAAG
rnacentral:lncRNA from 1 species